CUAUAGUCGUGGUCCCUGAACUACAACUGUUCCUGACCAGCUAUAUCUUUGUAAUAGCACAGAAUAAUGCUAUGGUACUAUGAUAUAAGUUAGUGAUAAACUGAUAACUGAUAAUGAUAACAACGGGUAUAUUAUAUUAAUAUUUUAAAUAAAAAACCGACACGGUCACAUUAAAAACAAAUGAAAUAAUAAGAAAAAAAAUUAUAUUAUAGGAUUCGCGAGACAGUACCUGAUCGAUCGUCUAUAAUAUAUUUCAAAACGUUGUACAAACGCAAUUCACCAGUCAAAAUUACGAACACCGAAUGAGCAAUAGUGAACGGUUAUUGCGAAAUACAGGUAAAAUAAAUAAAUGUCGUUGAUUAUAGACCUAUAGUACUUUGCUCUUACGACAUUAACAUACGUGGACGCGGAUAAUAUUAUUCAGAAAUUAGGGACAAGACUGUUUUUAAUUUAACAACCCUACUAUUAAAAUGGAAAAGAAGAACAACUGGGUGAUUCCAGUAAAAUCCAUAAUAACAAAACUGUAAUCGAGGAAAAAAACUGUUGAGCAGGACCCAUCAACCAGUACACGGACCAUAAUACAAGGAAACCCCAAACCCAUCACAGUGGAACAGAGGAUUGAAAAUAGUAAUAUCAUGGAAUACAAACACAGGAAUUCCAAUAAAUACCAACACUACAUACAGAGAGACUUAUGAAUUACCGCCGAAACAACUAAAAUAGUAACCA